rnacentral:lncRNA from 1 species
UACAUCUUGGUUAGGGAGAGUUAAUGGCUCAACCAUAACCAUAGACAUAAGUCUUUCACAAGGAUAAGGCAUCUUCAACUCCAAAGCUCUCUUCUUCAUCCAAAGAGUGUAAGCUUCCAAAGCUACACAAUUACGCGGACCAAGCUCGGAUCUUCCUUUCCUAUCCAUAUUAUGCCAAGCAUGCACAAUCUCCUGCUUCAAAUGUUGGGAAUCUU